UACGUAGGGGGCAAGCGUUGUCCGGAAUUAUUGGGCGUAAAGCGCGCGCAGGCGGCUACUUAAGCCUGGUGUUUAAACCAUGGGCUCAACCUGUGGUCGCACUGGAAACUGGGUGGCUUGAGUACAGAAGGGGAAAGUGGAAUUCCACGUGUAGCGGUGAAAUGCGUAGAGAUGUGGAGGAACACCAGUGGCGAAGGCGACUUUCUGGGCUGUAACUGACGCUGAGGCGCGAAAGCGUGGGGAGCAAACAGG
rnacentral:rRNA from 1 species